CCUACGGGCGUGCAGCAGUGGGGAAUAUUGGACAAUGGGCGAAAGCCUGAUCCAGCCAUGCCGCGUGUGUGAAGAAGGCCUUCGGGUUGUAAAGCACUUUCAGUGGGGAAGAAAGCCUUGGGGCUAAUACCCUCGAGGAAGGACAUCACCCACAGAAGAAGCACCGGCUAACUCCGUGCCAGCAGCCGCGGUAAUACGGAGGGUGCGAGCGUUAAUCGGAAUUACUGGGCGUAAAGCGCGCGUAGGCGGUCUGAUAAGCCGGUUGUGAAAGCCCCGGGCUCAACCUGGGAACGGCAUCCGGAACUGUCAGGCUAGAGUGCAGGAGAGGAAGGUAGAAUUCCCGGUGUAGCGGUGAAAUGCGUAGAGAUCGGGAGGAAUACCAGUGGCGAAGGCGGCCUUCUGGACUGACACUGACGCUGAGGUGCGAAAGCGUGGGUAGCAAACAGGAUUAGAUACCCCGGUAGUC
rnacentral:rRNA from 1 species